rnacentral:rRNA from 1 species
UACGGAGGAUGCGAGCGUUAUCCGGAUUAUUGGGUUUAAAGGGUGCGUAGGCGGGUUAUCAAGUCAGCGGUAAAAUCGUGGAGCUCAACUCCGUCCAGCCGUUGAAACUGAUGAUCUUGAGUGGGCGAGAAGUAUGCGGAAUGCGUGGUGUAGCGGUGAAAUGCAUAGAUAUCACGCAGAACUCCGAUUGCGAAGGCAGCAUACCGGCGCCCGACUGACGCUGAAGCACGAAAGCGUGGGUAUCGAACAGG